rnacentral:rRNA from 1 species
AACGAACGCUGGCGGCAGGCUUAACACAUGCAAGUCGAGCGCCCCGCAAGGUGAGCGGCAGACGGGUGAGUAACGCGUGGGAACGUACCCUUUACUACGGAAUAACGCAGGGAAACUUGUGCUAAUACCGUAUGUGCCCUUUGGGGGAACGAUUUAUCGGUAAAGGAUCGGCCCGCGUUGGAUUAGCUAUUUGUUGGGGUAAAGGCCGACCAAGGCGACGAGCGAUAGCUGGUCUGAGAGGAUGAUCAGCCACAUUAGGACGGCUACACGGCCCGAGAUCCAACGGAAGGCAGGAGUGUGUAAAAGUGGACAAGGGGAGCAAGGAUGAUCCGGCCAUGCCGCGUGAGAGAUGAAGGCCCUAGGGUUGGAAAGCUCUUGUACCGGAGAAGAUAAUGACGGUAUCCGGAGAAGAAGCCCGGGCUAACUUCGUGCCAGCGGCGGCGGUAAGAC